AGGAAGCACCUACCUCUAAACCUUACACUCUUGACAUGGUUCAUUCUAUCUGCAUGUCCUAUAGCUUCGAUUUGCACCGAAUGUCUCAGCCCUUGGGGAUCAAUCGUGUUCAAAAGGGAUAAAAAGCCAAUUUCCUCCUGGAGGAAAAUGUUGGUGGGUAGAGGGUUGGCCUGAAAACAGCGAUGGCUGUAUCCCCUGUCAAAAAAUGUUUGCAGUGAGGAAGCAGUCCAGUUGAUCCAAUGAUACUUUAAUUAAACCGGGCAUUCAGGCAGUGAUGGAUAGAGAGAAGAUAUAGGAUUCAGGUCAGAAGAACUUGGUUCUUAGCUGUGGGAGACACCGUUUGCCCACCCCUUCUUCCAUAUACCCCGUCAUGUCCAAUUCCAGUGUUCCACAUAGUUAGGCGUGCCCAGGUGACCAGGUCCUCCCAGAAGUGAGCAGACGUGAACGUGCAAGGCAUAACCAUGUAAGUCUGACACAGGAUGUCCCCCCUGCACUUCUUUCCAGCUGACUGCAGAGCUGAGGCCCAGAGGGACGCUUCACGAUGUGGACUGAAAAUGGUACAAGCGUGACAGCUUGGAUCCCUGAAUGACUGUGUGGAGCAGAGGCUUCCACUGAUCCUUGGCAGAAGCUCUACGCUGUGCACGAGAGUGACCACGUCUGAGCCGUCACGUUCGGUCUGUUUAUAGCUGCAGCUUCCUCCACUACCUCUGCCAUGAAAUCAUGUCUGAGGUCUGCCUACCGAGGCGAAGUCGCAUAAAGCAGGUAUGGAUUGGAAGUCCUCAUGUUUCCGAGUCUGAAGGAGCCGGGAGUAAA
rnacentral:lncRNA from 1 species